AUAAAGCUGUUGGAAGAUGACCUUUUGAUAAAUGGCAACACUUCUUGUAUACCUCGGUCCUCCAGAGCACAAACCUGUGGCAGAUACAUACCGGUCCAGCCUUAACCUUACCAGUUAAAAGUUUGAGGAAUUUAUGAUGAGGCCAGGCAUGGUGGUCAUACCUGUAAUCCCAACAUUUUGAGAGGCCAGAGUUGGAGAAUCACUUGAGACCAGGAGUUCAAGACCAGCCUGGGCAACAUGGCAUCAGGUAUGUGAAAAAGAAGAGAUCAAGGCUUUGAAAACAUUAAGUAUUUUUUUACCAAGCUGGGAAUUCCAGAGCUGGGAAGCCAAUUUUUUAUGUUGCAAGGAGGCUGGAGUGCAAUGGCACGAUCUUGGCUCACUGCAACCUCCACCUCCCGGGUUCCAGCAAUUCUCCUGCCUCAGCCUCCUGAGCCCUCCCCUGCCAAAUCCUUCCCAGCUUCUGGUAAUCAUCAGUUUAUUCUCUGUCUUCAUAAGAUCCACUUUU